rnacentral:tmRNA from 1 species
GGGGAUGUAAAGGUUUCGACAGGGGUGUUGAAUCGGGAUAAGCGAGCGGCGGUCGAUCGGCCCGCCUACCAAACGAUCCGUUUAAAAGAAACGCUAAAAGAAAUAACACAUUCGCAAUCGCAGCUUAGUUCUGCACCGCGCGUCAGCCUGAAUUUACCCGUAGGUACAGGUCUUGGCGUCGACUAUACGGGGAACCCUUGUGUGAGUUCUCGGUAGCAUAAGGACUUACGAGAUAGAGGACCGGGAAGCUCGUUAACGGGCGUCUCGAAAAUCGAAACUCUAAAUCGUUAACUGCGCUCGGAGAAAGUCCCGCGGAUAUGCUUUUGGACGCGAGUUCGACUCUCGCCAUCUCCACCA